CCUACGGGUGGCAGCAGUGAGGAAUAUUGGUCAAUGGGCGGAAGCCUGAACCAGCCAAGCCGCGUGAGGGAAGAAGGUACAGUGUAUCGUAAACCUCUUUUGUCAGGGAAUAAAGGUGGGGACGAGUCCUCGGAUGAGGGUACCUGACGAAUAAGCAUCGGCUAACUCCGUGCCAGCAGCCGCGGUAAUACGGAGGAUCCGAGCGUUAUCCGGAUUUAUUGGGUUUAAAGGGUGCGUAGGCGGCCUGUUAAGUCAGCGGUGAAAGGCCCGGGCUUAACCCGGGCAGAGCCGUUGAAACUGGCGGGCUGGAGUUGGAGAGAGGUACGCGGAAUGCGCGGUGUAGCGGUGAAAUGCUUAGAGAUCACGCAGAACCCCGAUUGCGAAGGCAGCUUACCAACUCCACACUGACGCUGAGGCACGAAAGCGUGGGUAUCAAACAGGAUUAGAUACCCGAGUAGUC
rnacentral:rRNA from 1 species